rnacentral:rRNA from 1 species
CAGUCGCCGCGGGAAUACGUAGGUGGCAAGCGUUGUCCGGAUUUAUUGGGCGUAAAGCGAGCGCAGGCGGUCAAUCAAGUCUGAUGUGAAAGCCCCCGGCUCAACCGGGGAGGGUCAUUGGAAACUGGUUGACUUGAGUGCAGAAGAGGAGAGUGGAAUCCCAUGUGUAGCGGUGAAAUGCGUAGAUAUAUGGAGGAACACCAGUGGCGAAGGCGACUCUCUGGUCUGUAACUGACGCUGAGGAGCGAAAGCGUGGGGAGCGAACAGGAUUAGAUACCCCUGUAGUCCCUGUCUCUUAUAC